AUGAACGCUGGCGGCGUGCCUAAUACAUGCAAGUCGAGCGAACGGACGAGAAGCUUGCUUCUCUGAUGUUAGCGGCGGACGGGUGAGUAACACGUGGAUAACCUACCUAUAAGACUGGGAUAACUUCGGGAAACCGGAGCUAAUACCGGAUAAUAUUUUGAACCGCAUGGUUCAAAAGUGAAAGACGGUCUUGCUGUCACUUAUAGAUGGAUCCGCGCUGCAUUAGCUAGUUGGUAAGGUAACGGCUUACCGAGGCAACGAUGCAUAGCCGACCUGAGAGGGUGAUCGGCCACACUGGAACUGAGACACGGUCCAGACUCCUACGGGAGGCAGCAGUAGGGAAUCUUCCGCAAUGGGCGAAAGCCUGACGGAGCAACGCCGCGUGAGUGAUGAAGGUCUUCGGAUCGUAAAACUCUGUUAUUAGGGAAGAACAUAUGUGUAAGUAACUGUGCACAUCUUGACGGUACCUAAUCAGAAAGCCACGGCUAACUACGUG
rnacentral:rRNA from 1 species